AACGAACGCUGGCGGCAGGCCUAACACAUGCAAGUCGAGCGCUGUAGCAAUACAGAGCGGCGCACGGGAUAAUAACGUGUGGGAACCUACCUUAUGGUUCGGAAUAACAUCGGGAAACUGGUGCUAAUACCGGAUAAGCCCUUCGGGGGAAAGAUUUAUUGCCAUUAGAUGGGCCCGCGUUAGAUUAGCUAGUUGGUGAGGUAACGGCUCACCAAGGCGACGAUCUAUAGCUGGUCUGAGAGGAUGAUCAGCAUCACUGGGACUGAGACACGGCCCAGACUCCUACGGGAGGCAGCAGUGGGGAAUAUUGGACAAUGGGGGAAACCCUGAUCCAGCCAUGCCGCGUGAAUGAUGAAGGCCUUCGGGUUGUAAAGUUCUUUUGACGGGGACGACGAUGACGGUACCCGUAGAAUAAGCUCCGGCUAACUUCGUGCCAGCCGCCGCAGUAA
rnacentral:rRNA from 1 species